AAUGAAAAACAGAAAACAAAAUAUGUGCUAGAGAGAAAUCAAAUCAGCAGCUAAAACUAUUCUGUAGUAGAUUAUCUAACUUUCUGGUAUCUAUAUAUAAGCACCGCCAAGCUCUCACCACAUAGCAUGACAAUCAACCAAACUGAGCAUCUCUCAAAGCUUACAGAAGUAGAAGGUCUGCAGCAAAAUAAAUCCAUCCGCAAGAUCCUUUUCAUCCCCUAGUUCUUCCUAACUACAGCUCCUAUUGCUAGGCUGAUGUGUUAAUUUGAUCAUGUUGUCAAAUCACUUAGUAUCCAUAAUGUGAGAGAUCUCCAAUAGGAUGAGUCAAAGCGACUGACACAAGAAGAAGCCCUCCAUUUCUUUGAGUUCGAUCUCAUCAUCUUCUCACCCGGGUCUUCCAAUUCCAGGUAAGCUUUCUAUCAAUUUUUGCUUUAAUCUUCUUCCAUUACUUUUCAAAUUUCGCGACAUAGAGAAAGGGGUAGAGUCUCGGAAGGUUUGCUAUGCAUGAAUGUAGCUGUGACAUCGGGGUAGAUAACGAUGAACAAACAGAUUAUUGAGUCUAUUUCUCUAUCUGAUCCAGUCUAAUCAAGUUUUUAAAAGGGAAAAGGAGCUUUUUUGGCACCCACAAGGAUGUAGAGCAGGAAACAGAAGCGGAAAAGAAAGGAGGAACAUAAUUAAAGGUUAUGGUAUUGGCGCCCAUGCUUCCAUUGCGUUGAAGAACAUAUCACCUUACCCUGUUCCAGGAACAAAUUCAACAUGUAUAGUGAUGAGGACGGCAACUAAUAUAAAUCUUGAUAAUGAUGGGAUAUUGAGAGCAGACAGAUGACGGUUAGAAGUUUCGGUUUAAUCAAGCACUGUCUUAAUCUCUUUUGGACUUAUGAUGAUUCUUGUUCGAUUAGUGCUUUGUUGUGUAUUCUAAAGACCCGUCCUUAAUUUUUUGCUUUUAGGUAUACUCAGAAGAAUGUCAAAACAUAUUGAGUAUUUAGCUACUUUAAUGUAUUAAAUGUUCUUUAAUCUCUAUUUGGAUUUUGAGAAGGGCGCUUUUGGAAGUUUUGACAUUA